GGAGACUCCGGUAGCAGCAUCUUCCCCUGGAGAGUGUUCAUGGCGACUGGAGUUUGCAGCUGGUCGCUUGAUGGCUUCGGUGGUAAAGAAGUGCCCUUAUGCAAGGAACAAACAAUAAAGUACUGCAUGUUGGAUCAGCUGUAAUCCUGACAUUACGACAUGGCCAUAGAUCCUGCAGAUUUGUGUCAGCACAUAGUAGCUUGUGAGAGAACCGUAUGGAUCAGUUCACCUAGGCUAUC